rnacentral:rRNA from 1 species
CCCUUUGUUUACAUCGGGAGCGGUUAGUGGCGGACUGGUGAGUAACACGUAAGCAACCUGCCUAUUAGAGGGGAAUAACAGUGAGAAAUCAUUGCUAAUACCGCAUAUGCUCACAGUAUCACAUGAUACAGUGAGGAAAGGAGCAAUCCGCUAAUAGAUGGGCUUGCGUCUGAUUAGCUAGUUGGUGGGGUAACGGCCUACCAAGGCGACGAUCAGUAGCCGGACUGAGAGGUUGAACGGCCACAUUGGGACUGAGAUACGGCCCAGACUCCUACGGGAGGCAGCAGUCGGGAAUAUUGCGCAAUGGAGGAAACUCUGACGCAGUGACGCCGCGUAUAGGAAGAAGGUUUUCGGAUUGUAAACUAUUGUCGUUAGGGAAGAUAAAAGACAGUACCUAAGGAGGAAGCUCCGGCUAACUAUGUGCCAGCAGCCGCGGUAAUACAUAGGGAGCAAGCGUUAUCCGGAAUUAUUGGGUGUAAAGGGUGCGUAGACGGAGGAACAAGUUAGUUGUGAAAUCCCUCGGCUUAACUGAGGAACUGCAACUAAAACUAUUCCCCUUGAGUGUCGGAGAGGAAAGUGGAAUUCCUAGUGUAGCGGUGAAAUGCGUAGAUAUUAGGAGGAACACCAGUGGCGAAGGCGACUUUCUGGACGAUAACUGACGUUGAGGCACGAAAGUGUGGGGAGCAAACAGGAUUAGAUACCCUGGUAGUCCACACUGUAAACGAUGGAUACUAGGUGUAGGGUGUAUUAAGCACUCUGUGCCGCCGCAAACGCAUUAAGUAUCCCACCUGGGGAGUACGACCGCAAGGUUGAAACUCAAAGGAAUUGACGGGGGCCCGCACAAGCAGUGGAGUAUGUGGUUUAACUCGAAAGCACGCGAAGAACCUUACCAGGGCUUGACAUAUACCGGA